rnacentral:rRNA from 1 species
AACGAACGCUGGAGGAAUGAAUAAAACAUGCAAGUAGAACGAGACAAUAGGGAAAAGAGGAGAAAGAGAAAGAAAAAAAUAGAAAAAAACAAUUACGUUAGCACUCACUCACCGAAAGGGGUGCUAAUACCGGAUAAUGUCUUCGGACCAAAGAUUUAUCGCCUUUGGAUGGGCCCGCGUUGGAUUAGCUAGUUGGUAGGGUAAAAGCCUACCAAGGCGACGAUCCAUAGCUGGUCUGAGAGGAUGAUCAGCCACACUGGGACUGAGACACGGUCCAGACUCCUACGGGAGGCAGCAGUGGGGAAUAUUGGACAAUGGGCGAAAGCCUGAUCCAGCAAUGCCGCGUGAGUGAUGAAGGCCUUAGGGUUGUAAAGCUCUUUUACCCGGGAUGAUAAUGACAGUACCGGGAGAAUAAGCUCCGGCUAACUCCGUG